UACAGGGGGGGCAAGCGUUGUUCGGAAUUACUGGGCGUAAAGGGCUUGUAGGUGGCCAACUAAGUCAGACGUGAAAUCCCUCAGCUUAACUGGGGAACUGCGUCUGAUACUGGAUGGCUUGAGUUUGGGAGAGGGAUGCGGAAUUCCAGGUGUAGCGGUGAAAUGCGUAGAUAUCUGGAGGAACACCGGUGGCGAAGGCGGCAUCCUGGACCAACACUGACACUGAGGAGCGAAAGCCAGGGGAGCAAACGGG
rnacentral:rRNA from 1 species